UGGGGAAUCUUGGACAAUGGGCGCAAGCCUGAUCCAGCCAUGCCGCGUGAGCGAUGAAGGCCUUAGGGUUGUAAAGCUCUUUCACCGGUGAAGAUAAUGACGGUAGCCGGAGAAGAAGCCCCGGCUAACUCCGUGCCAGCAGCCGCGGUAAUACGGAGGGGGCUAGCGUUGUUCGGAAUUACUGGGCGUAAAGCGCACGUAGGCGGACCAGAAAGUUGGGGGUGAAAUCCCGGGGGCUCAACCCCGGAACUGCCUCCAAAACUAUUGGUCUAGAGUUCGAGAGAGGUGAGUGGAAUUCCAAGUGUAGAGGUGAAAUUCGUAGAUAUUUGGAGGAACACCAGUGGCGAAGGCGGCUCACUGGCUCGAUACUGACGCUGAGGUGCGAAAGUGUGGGGAGCAAACAGGAUUAGAUACCCUGGUAGUCCACACCGUAAAACGAUGAAUGCCAGUCGUCGGGUAGCAUGCUAUUCGGUGACACACCU
rnacentral:rRNA from 1 species